rnacentral:rRNA from 1 species
UAACAGUUGGAAACGACUGCUAAUACCGCAUAAGCGCACAGGAUUGCAUGAUCCGGUGUGAAAAACUCCGGUGGUAUGAGAUGGACCCGCGUCUGAUUAGCCAGUUGGCAGGGUAACGGCCUACCAAAGCGACGAUCAGUAGCCGACCUGAGAGGGUGACCGGCCACAUUGGGACUGAGACACGGCCCAAACUCCUACGGGAGGCAGCAGUGGGGAAUAUUGCACAAUGGGGGAAACCCUGAUGCAGCGACGCCGCGUGAGCGAAGAGGUAUUUCGGUAUGUAAAGCUCUAUCAGCAGGGAAGAAGAAUGACGGUACCUGACUAAGAAGCACCGGCUAAAUACGUGCCAGCAGCCGCGGUAAUACGUAUGGUGCAAGCGUUAUCCGGAUUUACUGGGUGUAAAGGGAGCGCAGGCGGUGCGGCAAGUCUGAUGUGAAAGCCCGGGGCUCAACCCCGGUACUGCAUUGGAAACUGUCGUACUAGAGUGUCGGAGGGGUAAGUGGAAUUCCUAGUGUAGCGGUGAAAUGCGUAGAUAUUAGGAGGAACACCAGUGGCGAAGGCGGCUUACUGGACGAUAACUGACGCUGAGGCUCGAAAGCGUGGGGAGCAAACAGGAUUAGAUACCCUGGUAGUCCACGCCGU